rnacentral:rRNA from 1 species
UACAGAGGUCCCAAGCGUUGUUCGGAUUCAUUGGGCGUAAAGGGUGCGUAGGCGGCGCGGUAAGUCGGGUGUGAAAUCUCGGAGCUUAACUCCGAAACUGCAUUCGAUACUGCCGUGCUUGAGGACUGGAGAGGAGACUGGAAUUUACGGUGUAGCGGUGAAAUGCGUAGAUAUCGUAAGGAAGACCAGUAGCGAAGGCGGGUCUCUGGACAGUUCCUGACGCUGAGGCACGAAGGCCAGGGGAGCAAACGGG